rnacentral:rRNA from 1 species
UACAGAGGUCUCAAGCGUUGUUCGGAUUCAUUGGGCGUAAAGGGCGCGUAGGCGGCGGGGUAAGUCGGGUGUGAAAUCUCAGAGCUCAACUCUGAAAUGGCACUUGAUACUGCUCUGCUAGAGGACUGGAGAGGAGAUUGGAAUUCACGGUGUAGCAGUGAAAUGCGUAGAUAUCGUGAGGAAGACCGGUGGCGAAGGCGGAUCUCUGGACAGUUCCUGACGCUGAGUGAGCGAAAGCCAGGGGAGCAAACGGG